CCUACGGGAGGCAGCAGUGAGGAAUAUUGGUCAAUGGGCGGAAGCCUGAACCAGCCAAGUCGCGUGAGGGAAUAAGGCCCUACGGGUCGUAAACCUCUUUUGCCGGGGAGCAAGGUCGGGGACGUGUCCCGGCCCGGAGAGUACCCGGAGAAAAAGCAUCGGCUAACUCCGUGCCAGCAGCCGCGGUAAUACGGAGGAUGCGAGCGUUAUCCGGAUUUAUUGGGUUAAAAGGGUGCGUAGGCGGGCGUUUAAGCCAGCGGGAAAAAUUCGGGGCUCAACCCCGGCCGGCCGUUGAAACUGGGGGCCUUGAGUGGGCGAGAGGAAGGCGGAAUGCGUGGUGUAGCGGUGAAAUGCAUAGAUAUCACGCAGAACCCCGAUUGCGAAGGCAGCCUUCCGGAGCCCGACUGACGCUGAGGCACGAAAGUGCGGGGAUCGAACAGGAUUAGAUACCCGAGUAGUC
rnacentral:rRNA from 1 species